AUAUUGGUUCCUACGGAAACAAUUAUUGGAAUGAGAACAAUUUAAAAAACUUAGCGACUAACUAUUGGAGGGCAAGUCUGGUGCCAGCAGCCGCGGUAAUUCCAGCUCCAAGAGCGUAUAUUAAAAUUGUUGUGGUUAAAAAGCUCGUAGUUGUAUUUCAGAAAUUUUGGCGUGAAUUACUAGGAUUCUGGUAGUUUCGUCAUUUUCUAUCUUUAUAUAUGACUUGUAAAAAGGUUAUAUAUAUAGUUUACUUUGAAAAAAUUAGAGUGUUCAAAGCAGGCACGCGCCAAUUGAAUAUUUUAGCAUGGGACAAUAGAAUAAGACAAUAGCUCUCAUUUUGUUGGUUCAGUUAGCUAUUGUAAUGAUUGACAGGGACAGUUGGGGUUACUUGUAUUCAAUCGGGAAGGGUGAAAUCUUAUGAUCGAUUGAAGACAAACUAUUGCGAAAGCAUUUAACAAGGAUGUUUUCAUUAAUCAAGAACGAGAGUUGAGGGAUCGAAGAUGAUCAGAUACCGUUGUAGUCUCAACUGUAAACUAUGUCGACUCAGGAUUGGAAGAUAUUACAUGGAUGAUUCUUUCAGCACUGAAUGAGAAAUUAAAGUACCUAGACUCCAGGGGGAGUAUGGUCGCAAGGCUGAAACUUAAAGGAAUUGACGGAAGGCCACCACCAGGAGUGGAAUCUGCGGCUUAAUUUGACCCAACACGGGGAAACUUACCGGGUCCGGACACUACGAGGAUUGACAGAUUGAGAGCUCUUUCUUGAUUUAGUGAUUGGUGGUGCAUGGCCGUUUUUAGUUGGUGGAUUGAUUUGUCUGGUUAAUUCCGAAAACGAACGAGAUCUUAACCAUUAAAUAUGUUACGUUAAUAUGGUUGAAAGACCAAAUAUUUGACAUGAAAACUUCUUAAAGGGACUAUUUGCAUUUUAGUGAAUGGAAGUUUGAGGCAAAAACAGGUCUGUGAUGCCCUUCGAUGUUCCGGGCUGCACGCGCGUUACACUGAUUUGUUCAGUAAGUAAUUCCUUAUUCAAACGGAUAUGGUAAUCUUUGAAAAACAAAUCGUGAUUGGGAUAAAGCCUUGUAAUUAUUGCUUUUGAACGAGGAAUUCCUAGUAGGGACAGUUCAUCAAACUGUCUCGAAUAUGUCCCUGGCCUUUGUACACACCGCCCGUCGCUCCUACCGAUUGAGUAACCCGAUGAGAAUUCAGGAUAGAUUAGUCCUCGAAUGCCUGAAAGGGUAUUGGGAAUAAUUUAGAAUUUAUUCAAAUCUUAUUAUUUAGAGGAAGGAGAUUCGUAACAAGGUUUUCGUUGGUGAACCAGCGGAAG
rnacentral:rRNA from 1 species